CAAUAGCGUAUAUUAAAGUUGUUGCAGUUAGAACGCUCGUAGUCGGAUUUCGGGGCGGGCCGACCGGUCUGCCGAUGGGUAUGCACUGGUCGGCGCGUCCUUCCUUCCGGAGACCGUCCCUACUCUUAACUGAGCGGGGGCGGGAGACGGGACUUUUACUUUGAAAAAAUCAGAGUGUUUCAAGCAGGCAGCUCGCUCUUGCAUGGAUUAGCAUGGGAUAAUGAAAUAGGACUUUGGUGCUAUUUUGUUGGUUUCGAACACCGAAGUAAUGAUUAAAAGGGACAGUCAGGGGCACUCGUAUUCCGCCGAGAGAGGUGAAAUUCUCAGACCAGCGGAAGACGAACUACUGCGAAAGCAUUUGCCAGGGAUGUUUUCACUGA
rnacentral:rRNA from 1 species